GUGCCAGCCGCCGCGGUAAUACGUAGGGUGCGAGCGUUAAUCGGAAUUACUGGGCGUAAAGCGUGCGCAGGCGGUUUCGUAAGACAGAUGUGAAGUCCCCGGGCUUAACCUGGGAACUGCGUUUGUGACUGCGAGACUUGAGUGCGGCUGAGGGGGGGGGAAUUCCUAGUGUAGCGGUGAAAUGCGUAGAGAUUGGGAGGAACACCGAUGGCGAAGGCAGCCCCCUGGGUCGACUCU
rnacentral:rRNA from 1 species